rnacentral:tRNA from 1 species
GCGGGUGUAGCUCAGUUGGUAGAGCGUCAGCCUUCCAAGCUGAACGUCACGGGUUCGAAUCCCGUUACCCGCU